rnacentral:rRNA from 1 species
AAACUCCAUGGAUCAGCUCAUAGCGUAUAUUUAAGUUGUUGCAGUUAAAAAGCUCGUAGUUGAAUUUCGGGGUUAGUAGGUUGGUCAUGCCUCUGGUAUGUACUGGUCUCACUGAUUCCUCCUUCCUGAUGAACCGUAAUGCCAUUAAUUUGGUGUUGCGGGGAAUUUGGACUGUUACUUUGAAAAAAUUAGAGUGUUUAAAGCAGGCAAU